GGGGGACCCAUCAGUGGGGUGGGGGACCCAUCAGUGGGGCUGCCCCAUAAGUGUGGGGGGGGGACCCAUCAGUGGGGCUGCCCCAUAAGUGGGGGGGAACACAUAAGUGGGGGGGGGGACCCAUCAGUGGGGCUGCCCCAUAAGUGGGGGGGAACCCAUCAGUGGGGGGGGGACCCAUCAGUGGGGCUGCCCCAUAAGUGGGGGGGAACCCAUCAGUGGGGGGGGACCCAUCAGUGGGGCUGCCCCAUAAUGGGGGGGGGGACCCAUCAGUGGGGUGGGGGACCCAUCAGUGGGGCUGCCCCAUAAGUGUGGGGGGGGGGACCCAUCAGUGGGGCUGCCCCAUAAGUGGGGGGGAACACAUAAGUGGGGGGGGGACCCAUCAGUGGGGCUGCCCCAUAAGUGGGGGGGAACCCAUCAGUGGGGGGGGGACCCAUCAGUGGGGCUGCCCCAUAAGUGGGGGGGAACCCAUCAGUGGGGGGGGGACCCAUCAUGGGGGCUGCCCCAUAAGUAGGGGGGGACACCCAUCAGUGGGGCUGCCCCAUACGUGUGGGAGGGGGGACCCAUAAGUGGGGGGGGGGACCCAAAUGGGUCUCAAUGUCCCCAAAUGGGCCUCAAUGUCCCCAAAUGGGCCUCAAUGUCCCCAAAUCAGAUCCCACUGUCCCCAAAUGGGCCUCAGUGUCCCCAAAUGGGGUCUCAAUGUCCCCAAAUCAGAUCCCACUGUCCCCAAAUGGGUCUCAAUGUCCCCAAAUGGGUCUCAAUGUCCCCAAUUCUGAUCCCACUGUCCCCAAAUGGGUCUCAAUGUCCCCAUAUGGGCCUCAAUGUCCCCAAAUGGGUCUCAAUGUCCCCAAAUGGGUCUCAAUGUCCCCAAUUCUGAUCCCACUGUCCCCAAAUGGGCCUCGAUGGCCCCAAAUGGGCCUCGAUGUCCCCAAAUGGGUCUCAAUGUCCCCAAAUCAGAUCCCACUGUCCCCAAAUGGGCCUCAGUGUCCCCAAAUGGGCCUCAAUGUCCCCAAUUCUGAUCCCAUUGACCCCAAAUGGGCCUCAGUGUCCCAAAGGGGUCUCAAUGUCCCCACAUCAGAUCCCACUGUCCCCAAAUGUGUCUCAAUGUCCCCAAAUGGGUCUCAAUGUCCCCAGUUCUGAUCCCAUUGACCCCAAAUGGGUCUCAGUGUCCCCAAAUGGGUCUCAAUGUCCCCAAAUCAGAUCCCACUGUCCCCAAAUGGGUCUCAAUGUCCCCAAAUGGGAUCCCACUGUCCCCAAAUGGGCCUCAAUGUCCCCAAAUGGGCCUCAAUGUCCCCAAAUGGGCCUCAAUGUCCCCAAAUCAGAUCCCACUGUUCCCAAAUGGGUCUCAAUGUCCCCAAAUAGGGUCCCACUGUCCCCAAAUGGGCCUCAAUGUCCCCAAAUCAGAUCCCACUGUCCCCAAAUGGGUCUCAAUGUCCCCAAAUGGGUCUCAGCCCCCCCCCUUCCCCCCAUAACCCCCCCAUAUCCCCCCAUAUCCCCCC
rnacentral:lncRNA from 1 species